AUACGGAGGGUGCAAGCGUUAUCCGGAUUUACAGGGUUUAAAGGGUACGCAGGCGGUAAUUUAAGUCAGUGGUGAAAGCCUACAGCUCAACUGUAGAACUGCCAUUGAAACUGAAUUACUUGAGUAUGGUAGAGGUAGGCGGAAUACAACAUGUAGCGGUGAAAUGCAUAGAUAUGUUGUAGAACACCGAUUGCGAAGGCAGCUUACUAAACCAUUACUGACGCUCAUGUACGAAAGCGUGGGGAGCGAACAGGAUUAGAAACCCUAGUAGUCC
rnacentral:rRNA from 1 species